rnacentral:rRNA from 1 species
UGGGGAAUUUUUGGACAAUGGGCGCAAGCCUGAUCCAGCAAUGCCGCGUGAGUGAAGAAGGCCUUCGGGUUGUAAAGCUCUUUUAGUUGAAAAGAAAAAAUCGUGACUAAUAAUCACGAUUCAUGACGGUAUCAACAGAAAAAGCACCGGCUAACUACGUGCCAGCAGCCGCGGUAAUACGUAGGGUGCAAGCGUUAAUCGGAAUUACUGGGCGUAAAGGGUGCGUAGGUGGUUUUGUAAGUCAGAUGUGAAAUCCCCAGGCUUAACCUGGGAAUUGCGUUUGAAACUGCAAGACUAGAGUGCGGCAGAGGGAGGUGGAAUUCCAUGUGUAGCAGUGAAAUGCGUAGAGAUAUAGGAAGAACAUCGAUGGCAAGGGCAAACCGUCCUGGGUCAGCACUGACG